CCUAAGGAGAAGCCUCAUCAACCAGGGAGCUGACUCUGUAGCACACAGGACCUUCAUCCCUGAACUGCACACGCCAAAGAUGAGUCAAGGACCUACCCUCCUCUCCUGCGGAAUUAUGGAAAAUGACAGAUGGCGAGACCUGGAUAGAAAAUGCCCUCUUCAGAUUGACCAGCCAAGCGCCAGCAUCUGGGAAUGUCUGCCUGAAAAGUAAUACUGUCCCCCCUCAGCCAACAGCACACCUGCCUCAACGCCAGAGCUGGCAAGACGCUCCAGUGGGCUUGCCCGCAGCCGCUCCCAGCCGUGUGUCCUUAAUGACAAGAAGAUCGGUGUGAAACGGCGGCGUCCAGACGAAGUGCAGGAGCAAAGACCUUCGCUAGACCUUGCCAAGAUGGCACAGGUUCACUAGCAUCUCUGCUGGAGUGACACUCGAGGAUUUAAGUCCACGAAAGGAACAUCGUGCUGCUACCUCAGAGCUGCAUUUGUCAGGACUCCAUAGAGAGAAACGCAAACUUCUGGUGGUGUGCUGUAGUUUCCUGGCAGCUUCCAAGGACUCGGGCUGACUGGAUGCACAUGCUGAGCUGGUGACUGGACUGAGCUGCCACUGCCUGCUGACCUGUGAACUGUGAACCUGUGAACCUGUGAACUCAACUGCUGAUUUCCAGACAGCACAGACGGAAGUUGCUUCAAAGACCCUUUCUAAACAGGUCCACUUCCCUGUGUCCUUUCUUUCCCACUACCUCUGGUGGGUGGUGGGCUAGCAGGGAGGUUAAAACGUUUAAGAACUAUCAUGAAAAGUAAGGUUUAAAAAUAUUAAAGUUACAGACCACAGCU
rnacentral:lncRNA from 1 species